ensembl:lncRNA
GAGUAUUUUAACGCAGUGGAAUCAUCUUCCUUUUGUUGGUCACGCUGCCACUAUGUGCCACCUACAAACAAACAGGACAUCCCACCACGACACCACACCUGCCCUGGGAACCUGCGGGUCCCUCUGCAUUGUGGGGUCUUGGUCCUGCAGACUAGCGGAGCGUGUGGGGCUCGAUGUCUACGUCCCUAUACCGUUAUAUUCUUUCCUCGGCUCCCGUUCCGCUCCCUAAAUAAGUGAUGGGCUCAUUAGAACGGUCCACUGCCCCUGCAAAUGAUUUAUGUGUUGGCAUUUGUAUGCUUGUCAACAGCUGCUGCUUAGCUGGGUUUUAUUUUUACGCGGCCUGUAUUAUGCAUCCCCAUCCUCAAGAGGUACCAAAGAAAGUUAUCCAAACUCGGCUUAAUCAUAUCAACACGAUUCAAGGCGGAAUUGGACAAUUGGAAUACAAUAACAAAUUUAGUCAAUCCCCGAUAGUUAAUGUCAGUGUUUUCCAUUUUGGCUUCCUCAGGGUUUGAGAACGUUGGCGAAAACUUUAAAUGAAGGACCGAGACAUCCUCAAGGAUUUAGGAACGAUAAUUCACAGACGGGUGACUUUCACUUCAUAGGUCCUUCAAUCUUUUUGGCUCAAGUGUCUCUGGAGUCAUCCAAAAAAUAUCAAGUCAGCGUAGAUAAAUCACUGCUAUAGAGUCCAAGAGCAUACUGAAUGUAUGUUCGGAAUAGACCAUGUAUGGUUAAGAGUACACGAGGCCUCAGUUCCUUGUGAUCUACAGUUAGACUGAGUGCCAUUUCGUUCAGAUGUCACUUCGAAUUGCCCAGCCCACCUUCCAGCGUCGCUCUCUCUGUGCAUGUUUAUCCAUGCACCGACAUGUUUGUUCUCGCUCAACAUUAGGCCCAUGCUUUCUUCAUUUCGAUCCAUGUCAGUUGUUUUCACAGCUCAGAUUCAUUUUCGAACCAUGUUCAGUCACGCGUGUAGUUUUGGUACAAUCGCUAAAUGACAUAUGUCCUUCAGUGGGGAGCAUGCAUUGUGCUGGUCCAGUGAAUCUCUCCCAUUUAAAUGAGCAAAAAGGCCCGUGGCCCCAUGACAGCAGACACCGGAAACCAAGCAACAUGAGAGAAAGGUUGUUGUCUGAAUUACUAUGUCGCAAAAUGUUGCUCUAUUUUAUUGUUAUUUUUGUUUGUUAUUUUUGUUCUGUUGCCUAAGACCGUUGCUUGGACAGUAAGAGAGUAAAAACGUGUACCUGAGCAGACAGCGAAACUGCAGAGAGCAAAACUGGCAAGUCGCUGAGAAGCGGUACAUGUGAACGAACAAAAAAAAAAGGUUUUGUACAGAGAUAUAUUUUUAUGGGAAUACAUUUGUAAUAUAAAAAAAGAGAAAAUGGAUCAAAUUAUAUGUAAAUGUUUUUCUUUUUCAUUAUUGUAGUACAAAUGCUAGUGGGGAGUAUACAAAAAUAUCUAUCUAUAUAGAUAUAUAAUAUAUCUAUAUGCAUAUAUAGAUAUAUCAUAUAGAUAUAUACAAAAUGACGAAAAUAAAACUUUUUUCUAAGUGUAAAAAAGAUUGUAAAUAAAAGUUUACAUACAUAUUGUAAAUAUGUAAGACCCACCAUGGCUUGUCUGCAAUAUAUAAAAAUGUAUUUUAUCCUUUAUCCGUCUGUAUAUGAUGCUUUGCAUUGUGUUUAAGCUUAUUCUACUUUCUUGAACUUGAAACUUAUUUUGAAGAUUUUG